rnacentral:rRNA from 1 species
CCUACGGGCGGCUGCAGUGGGGAAUAUUGGACAAUGGGCGAAAGCCUGAUCCAGCCAUGCCGCGUGUGUGAAGAAGGCCUUCGGGUUGUAAAGCACUUUCAGUGGGGAAGAAAGCCUUGGGGCUAAUACCCUCGAGGAAGGACAUCACCCACAGAAGAAGCACCGGCUAACUCCGUGCCAGCAGCCGCGGUAAUACGGAGGGUGCGAGCGUUAAUCGGAAUUACUGGGCGUAAAGCGCGCGUAGGCGGUCUGAUAAGCCGGUUGUGAAAGCCCCGGGUUCAACCUGGGAACGGCAUCCGGAACUGUCAGGCUAGAGUGCAGGAGAGGAAGGUAGAAUUCCCGGUGUAGCGGUGAAAUGCGUAGAGAUCGGGAGGAAUACCAGUGGCGAAGGCGGCCUUCUGGACUGACACUGACGCUGAGGUGCGAAAGCGUGGGUAGCAAACAGGAUUAGAUACCCUGGUAGUC